rnacentral:rRNA from 1 species
ACAGUAGGGAAUCUUCGGCAAUGGACGAAAGUCUGACCGAGCAACGCCGCGUGAGUGAAGAAGGUUUUCGGAUCGUAAAACUCUGUUGGUAGAGAAGAACGUUGGUGAGAGUGGAAAGCUCAUCAAGUGACGGUAACUACCCAGAAAGGGACGGCUAACUACGUGCCGG